GACGAACGCUGGCGGCGUGCCUAAUACAUGCAAGUCGAGCGAACCAAUAAGAAGCUUGCUUUUUGUUGGUUAGCGGCGGACGGGUGAGUAACACGUGGGUAACCUGCCUGUAAGACCGGGAUAACUCCGGGAAACCGGUGCUAAUACCGGAUAGAUUAUCUUUCCGCCUGGAGAGAUAAGGAAAGAUGGCUAUUGCCAUCACUUACAGAUGGGCCCGCGGCGCAUUAGCUAGUUGGUGAGGUAACGGCUCACCAAGGCGACGAUGCGUAGCCGACCUGAGAGGGUGAUCGGCCACACUGGGACUGAGACACGGCCCAGACUCCUACGGGAGGCAGCAGUAGGGAAUCUUCCGCAAUGGACGAAAGUCUGACGGAGCAACGCCGCGUGAGUGAAGAAGGUCUUCGGAUCGUAAAGCUCUGUUGUUAGGGAAGAACAAGUAUCGGAGGAAAUGCCGGUACCUUGACGGUACCUGACGAGAAAGCCACGGCUAACUACGUGCCAGCAGCCGCGGUAAUACGUAGGUGGCAAGCGUUGUCCGGAAUUAUUGGGCGUAAAGCGCGCGCAGGCGGUCCUUUAAGUCUGAUGUGAAAUCUUGCGGCUCAACCGCAAGCGGUCAUUGGAAACUGGGGGACUUGAGUGCAGAAGAGGAAAGCGGAAUUCCACGUGUAGCGGUGAAAUGCGUAGAGAUGUGGAGGAACACCAGUGGCGAAGGCGGCUUUCUGGUCUGUAACUGACGCUGAGGCGCGAAAGCGUGGGGAGCAAACAGG
rnacentral:rRNA from 2 species